rnacentral:rRNA from 1 species
AUUGAACGCUGGCGGCAUGCUUUACACAUGCAAGUCGAACGGCAGCGGGGGGGGGCUUGCUUCCCUGCCGGCGCGUGGCGCACGGGUGUGUAAUACAUCGGAACGUCCUGUGAAGAGGGGGUUAACCACCCGAACGGGUGCCUAAUACGGCAUAAAUUCUGAGGAAGAUAGCUGGGGACUGGGGGAUAGUCUUACCGCCUUUUGAGGAUGCGUUGUCGGAUUAGCUAGUUGGUGAGGUAACGGCUCACCAAGGCGAAGAUCUGUAGCGGGCCUGAGAGGAUGAUCCGCCACACUGGGACUGAGACACGGCCCAGACUCCUACGGGAGGCAGCAGUGGGGAAUUUUGGACAAUGGGGGCAACCCUGACCCAGCAAUGCCGCGUGUAUGAAGAAGGCCUUAGGGUUGUAAAGUACUUUUGUUAGGGAAGAAAAGUCAGCUGUGAAUAAUGGCUGAUACUGACGGUACCUAAACAAUAAGCACCGGCUAACUACGUG